rnacentral:rRNA from 1 species
GAUGAACGCUGGCGGCGUGCCUAAUACAUGCAAGUCGAGCGAACAGACAAGGAGCUUGCUCCUCUGACGUUAGCGGCGGACGGGUGAGUAACACGUGGAUAACCUGCCUAUAAGACUGGGAUAACUUCGGGAAACCGGAGCUAAUACCGGAUAAUAUAUUGAACCGCAUGGUUCAAUAGUGAAAGACGGUUUUGCUGUCACUUAUAGAUGGAUCCGCGCCGCAUUAGCUAGUUGGUAAGGUAACGGCUUACCAAGGCAACGAUGCGUAGCCGACCUGAGAGGGUGAUCGGCCACACUGGAACUGAGACACGGUCCAGACUCCUACGGGAGGCAGCAGUAGGGAAUCUUCCGCAAUGGGCGAAAGCCUGACGGAGCAACGCCGCGUGAGUGAUGAAGGUCUUCGGAUCGUAAAACUCUGUUAUUAGGGAAGAACAAAUGUGUAAGUAACUAUGCACGUCUUGACGGUACCUAAUCAGAAAGCCACGGCUAACUACGUG